UAUCUGUAUUGCUGUUUUACAGAAUGAACAAUGAGAGCACAGGAGAGUUGAUUUCUCCAUGAAAAGCAGCCACCAGAUACUGGGAAGAGGGUUGCAAGAAGGCAGCUCAGCUGCUGCUGGAGCUACUCACCGCUUUCCACCACGUCCCCGGGGAAUGGAGCCCACAGUUCUCGCUGAACUCCAAGCAGCAGGAGUCUGGCACCCGGGUUGUGUUGUACACUUCAAACCAGUCAGUAUAGUUGGAGACUCCACAGCAUCUGAACUGGAAAAAGAACCAAGCGACACUAGCUUCUGAGCAAGGAUAAUUGGGAGACAGUCCUGUACUUGGAGAAGGGAAAAAGCACAGAUCACAUGGAAGAAAAUACCUGUAACGAGCAGUUUGUUGGAGCCAGUUAUUAUUUCAGACUUUCUGUUCUUCCACAAAGGCUGAUGUUUUGCCAUGGCCAGAAAGAGCCUGGUCAGCUUGCAAAGAGGCAGCAGCCGUGUCCCCUGUGCGCUGUGUAUGGCCAUGACCCGCAGAAACCUGCUAUCCCGCGGCUGUCCCAGAGCCGCUGGGCUACACCACCCACGCGGACAAGACUGAGCAGUCUAGUAAGGAGGGUACAAGACUGGGAACUGGGAUUCGAAACCAGAAGUGCCCUAUGUCAUCGCAUCAGCAAGCCAGUAGCCUUCCUGCACCUCCGUCAAACCCCAGGAAACCUGGAUUAAAAGCGAACCAUCACUCACAACAGCUGAGACGGCAAAGCAAAAGGAGGGUCUCCUGCUGCCAAGGAUACAGGAUUCAUGAGCAAGCCUGCUCAGGACUAAUGGGAAACAAGUAGAGGAUCUCCCUCAUCACUCCUUUCACUGGGAGCUAGCUUUUAAUCGCAUUAAAUUACUUGUGCCGUCAGCCCACAUUUGUUAGGCAAGAGGGACAGCAAGCGAAGAAAUGCUGCCAGGACAAUUUUGAGCAGCCAUUUCUACCAGUUUUGUAUCUUGUGAAGAUGAUGAGAACUGGAAGUGAAGCUCCCAGCCUGCGGACUGACCAUAUUCAUCUUUGGCAAGCAGAGCAUGGACCCUCGCUCCACUCCUUCGUCUGCCAACUCCAGUCUUUAAUCCAGGAACUGAGGACGGAGGGGAGAACAGAAGCAGCAGUGUGAUGGGAAUUGUACUUGUAUCUUAGAAAUGACUCCUCCUGCAGCCUGCAAAAUUUGUACAGAAAAGCCAGGGCGAGGAACGGGAAAUGACAGGACGGCAGCCAGACAGUAACAGUAACCGGGACUAGAGUCAAGAAAAUCCCAGUGUAUUGAUCUCAGAUAUGAACUUCACAACGCGGGAGAAAGGGCAGCUUGGUCCCACCAAUUGCCUCCAGAGCGCAUUCAGCAUCUCACUUCCAAAGGUUUUGCUGACAUUCAGCUCAAAAUCUCCUUCUGGCAGUUGCAAGCCAUCGCUCCUUCCUAGCGCCCUGCGAAAUUCCUUUCUGCUCACAGUAUUUAGGCUCUUCAAAUAUUUGCAGACUUAUGUCCCACCUGAGCCCUCUCUCAGCCACGCUGCGCACAUUUAGCUCGCUUAACAUCUCCUUGGAAGUAAAUCUCUUUAGCCUCCUGAUCAUUUUUGUGCAGCAUAAAAAUGAUAAGUUUGCUCAUAAACUGUAAAAAGGCAGUAAUGUAUACGAGCAAACUUAUGAACAGAAACUCCAUUAGGAAAACAGCAUGUAUCUAAAUUUGGUUCAUCAGCUAUUAUUCUCUGAAAGCCUUAAUAGUUAAUCCAUCGCGGCUGUGACAAAGAUUCGCACGCUCUGCGCCUGCUGGAUAUAUAGCACAGCUCUGUUUAUGUUUAGACUAUAUUUUUUAUGAAUGUGCAGACACGCCUGCUGAUCAAUAAGGCUGAGAGAAACCUGCAGUAAUUAUUUCUGGGAAGAUAUAGAACAUAUGCAGUUUUAAUACAGAUUAAUGGCGUUUCAUUUUAGUCUCACUACUGCUUUCAAUUGGCAGCAUCCAGUCUUACUGCUCUCGUAAGUGCGAGCUGAGAGAGUGUAGAUUCCCGUACUAUAUAUCACAGGCUUUUAAUUGGUAUUUUGUGGCAUUUCCAGUCAUUUGCCAACUUUUGCAAAAAUCGACUCAAAAAUCAAGGAAGUGUCAUCAAAUAUCAGCCAGGUAGCCAUGUCCCAUCACACGAGCAGGUUUGGUACAGGUACAGGCCCAUUUAGCAGGGCCACAGAAUAUGAUUUCUUGACAUAAAUAUCUUGCUGGCCUUUGACUCUGCCUGAGGGUUACUGCGUUUCUUCCGCAAGCAUAAUGCGGAGGGAUGAUGUGUAAAUCAGGUGUAAACCUUCAUCCUACAUAGUCAAGACAGAAGCUCAGCCUACCUGUGAAGUAAAGCGUGGCUUAGCAUGACUGGACACAUCAGAGUGGCUCUUACAAGCCGCUACGCCUCUCCAUUAAUAACACAGCAAUUGCUCCCAACACCGCUCAUGUAAAAGCCAACUAAAAGGCUCUGGCCUGGGGUUAAUCCGGUGUUCUCCAUCCGUAACAAAGACAGGCAGACUUAAUUAGUGUCUAAACUUGCACCUUUUGGGCAGACUUAACAUUACCUAUGUGUCUGCUAAGUGGAGCUUGCUCCCUGAACGCUCCCCCCGGGGUAUUUCUUGCCAGCUGGAGCUCUGGCGUGAACCGCGGUGGGACAGCUCAGCACCGCGGGAGCAGAGCAGCCACCGAGCCGGCAAGGCUGACCUCCACCACGCUCGCCCCGCAUGUCUGGCUGCUGGACAAAGCAGCCCCAGGUGCCCUGCCACCAUCGGGCUGCUUAAAAAUGAACAGACAAGUCAGCAGGGCUUACCUAAUUUUACCUUUCAGCUGCUUAUGUCCUCCUACAGCAAACUGAAACGUCUAUAGCAUCACAGAAGCUCUUCCUAUACUGUCUGUAGGCAUCGCAGAAGGAUGCCAACUUGCACAAACUAGCCUCUGCUUCCCUAUCUCCAAAGCCGGAUUUUUUUUCCCCUGACGUCUAGGUAAUUCAAGUCCUUAAAGAAAAAUGCCGGUGUUGCUCUUUAAUUUAAGAAGCAGUGUUAAGAUGCCUAAAAUAGCAAAUAAAUGAUUGGAAGUAUAAACAUACGUGCUGCUCUGUAAAGGCUGUGGAUUACUAUCCAAGGAGAGAAUUUUAUUGUUAGGAAAAGAAAAAAAAAAAUCAAACGCCAUGCUCAAAGGCCACGCGGAUGUUCGGACUGGCAAGGAGCAUCCAGGUUGCCCAUCACUCACUUUGCAAACGGGAGCGCUCCGCUGCCGAUCACAUCUUCCAGGGGACCCUGGCACAGAGUGCUUUAGCAGCAGACGUUGUUCAGACACUGCUAACGACUACUAGUUAAUAGAUUACCCCAAUUAAUCAAGCAGAAGAGAAGGGUUAUAUCCGACACGCCACAACUCAGGCUGGGCGAGUGGUCACCAACCCAUCUGCGUCCCGCUUCUCUUUCCCAGUCUCUGCACCGGCUGCCACUGGUUUGCAUGCAGCCAGCAUUUCCCCCAUUUUGCCACUCAGACCGCUGAAAGACGCACACUCACGAGCUAAGCUGGAAUCAGAAUCUACUGUUUGGUCUAUAGCAUAAAAUUACUGAGAUGAAGUCAUUCAUGGGCUAUUUUCUUUCCCAUUUAGCUGCUUGGAAAUAAAUUCCCUGUCACCGAUAGAGUUUCAGCUGUCAGCUCUCUGACUGGAUGCAGUGACACUCUUGAAAACAGUGGGUUUUUUAUUCUCCUUUUCUUCUCACUCAUUAACUUCUUCCUCAUUUUCUUUAUUGCUGUUUCACUUACAGAUGAGCUGGCUGAAAUCCAGAAAACUCUCAGCGGCAGAGUACAAAACAUCAGGGGCACUCGAUUUCCCUUUGGACUAUUCCAUAAAUAAGAGCCUUUUGAUGUCUGCAUAAGUCAUUCAGAUACAUGUAUUAAUAUCAGGUCUUUCCACAGCCAAUCCUGGCCUAGCAUCAUCGUGGUUUCAUUCUGAUCUUAUUCACACCAGCACCUGUGCGGGACUCCUCACUCAUUAACAUGAGGUUCUCAUUCAAAUGAAGCCAAACACAUGGAUCUGUCUGUUAAUGAUUCUUUUCUUUCCCCUUCUCAUCAGUCAUUCUUGCAGCUUUUCUCCAAAAUAUUCAGGCUUAUCCACAAAUCAGGAGUCAGGGAAAACAGGAUGGAUCUAAGCCAUCUUCUUACUUUUCUAAUGCUUGAUCUGAUAGGACAUACCCAGAUUUGGUGCUUCCCAAGACGGCAGCUGCUUUGGUUCAUCAGCAUUUUGUCUAAUCCCUGCCCUUUCCGAUAUAUCCUGUAUGGACAAGAGGUGGUGGAGAGCCAUCUAUGUUAACUUGGGGCCAUUUCAGGUUGUCACCACACAAGCAGACUCCUUUCUCUACCUCUUUUGAUAAGCCUAUUGGCCACUUAGCACAUCCCAACCAGGAGCAGAAGAACAUGUGCUUUGUACCAAAUCCCAAGGGAAAAAAGUGGCACAAAAGCAGAUGACAAGAUAAAGAAUUGGCCAUGGACCUUAUCUCUUUUCAGGACAUGAGUUAUUAUUUAAGACACAAAUGUCUUCAGACAUGAUGCCUAUAUGCAUAUGCUCCGAUGACCAAGCAGACAUUAAAGACCUUCCCUCAUGGAGGGCCUGAUACUGUUUUUCACCACUGACUAUAAUUUCCUGGACAAAUAGCAAGUUCUUUUUUUUUCCCAAAAAAAUUUUGCAUUACAUCUUGCUCAUAUGCCCUUUCUCACAGUUUCUCUGAAUCUCUGCUUCACAUUUAGCUGAAGGUAACUUUGCAUUUAGGCUGAUUAGCUUAACGGAGACAGCUUGCAGCGGAGCUCAUGGUAACUGGCUAGUUGUGCCAGUUAGGCACUUUCAACAAGAUAAAACUGAGAGCUAACUUUGCUUUGGGAUAUUUAUUCAUCACGGAGAUGUAAUAUAUACAAAGAGGGAAAUCAAAAUUGUUAUUAUUAUUUUGAAAACAGACUAAAUACUUGUUAGGGGUCAAUGGCCAAAGGCACUGAGCUGGGAUUCAGACAGUUUGGGUCUGCUUCAGCGCUCUCCCACCACCUCCCAGUGCAACCUAAGCAAAUCACUUCAGCUCCCCAUCUGUCUAAUGAGGAUAAUAA